GAUGAACGCUGGCGGCGUGCCUAAUACAUGCAAGUCGAGCGAACAGACGAGGAGCUUGCUCCUCUGACGUUAGCGGCGGACGGGUGAGUAACACGUGGAUAACCUACCUAUAAGACUGGGAUAACUUCGGGAAACCGGAGCUAAUACCGGAUAAUAUAUUGAACCGCAUGGUUCAAUAGUGAAAGACGGUUUUGCUGUCACUUAUAGAUGGAUCCGCGCCGCAUUAACUAGUUGGUAAGGUAACGGCUUACCGAGGCAACGAUGCGUAGCCGACCUGAGAGGGUGAUCGGCCACACUGGAACUGAGACACGGUCCAGACUCCUACGGGAGGCAGCAGUAGGGAAUCUUCCGCAAUGGGCGAAAGCCUGACGGAGCAACGCCGCGUGAGUGAUGAAGGUCUUCGGAUCGUAAAACUCUGUUAUUAGGGAAGAACAAAUGUGUAAGUAACUAUGCACGUCUUGACGGUACCUAAUCAGAAAGCCACGGCUAACUACGUG
rnacentral:rRNA from 1 species